rnacentral:rRNA from 1 species
AGGGUUUGAUCAUGGCUCAGGACGAACGCUGGCGGCGUGCCUAAUACAUGCAAGUCGAGCGAGCUGAAUUCAAAGAUCCCUUCGGGGUGAUUUGUUGGACGCUAGCGGCGGAUGGGUGAGUAACACGUGGGCAAUCUGCCCUAAAGACUGGGAUACCACUUGGAAACAGGUGCUAAUACCGGAUAACAACAUGAAUCGCAUGAUUCAAGUUUGAAAGGCGGCGCAAGCUGUCACUUUAGGAUGAGCCCGCGGCGCAUUAGCUAGUUGGUGGGGUAAAGGCCUACCAAGGCAAUGAUGCGUAGCCGAGUUGAGAGACUGAUCGGCCACAUUGGGACUGAGACACGGCCCAA